rnacentral:pre_miRNA from 1 species
GGGGGGAGGCCGGAUCUUGGGCUGCGUCCCCGGCGCCCUGUGCUCCCGGUCUGCGCAGUUGGAUUCGCGCUCCCGGCCGCGCAGCUGCCU